rnacentral:rRNA from 1 species
CAGCAGCCACGGGAAUACGUAGGGUGCGAGCGUUAAUCGGAAUUACUGGGCGUAAAGCGUGCGUAGGCGGUUUGUUAAGUCUGUUGUGAAAUCCCCGGGCUCAACCUGGGAAUGGCAAUGGAUACUGGCAAGCUAGAGUGUGUCAGAGGAUGGUGGAAUUCCCGGUGUAGCGGUGAAAUGCGUAGAGAUCGGGAGGAACAUCAGUGGCGAAGGCGGCCAUCUGGGACAACACUGACGCUGAGGCACGAAAGCGUGGGGAGCAAACAGGAUUAGAUACCCCCGUAGUCCCUGUCUCUUAUAC